rnacentral:pre_miRNA from 1 species
UAGUUUUAUCCUAAGUCAAACUUCUCUAACUUUGACCAAGUACACAGAAAAAUAUAUUGAUAUCUACAAUACCAAAUAAAUGCACUGUAAAAACAUAUUUCAUGGUGGAUUUAAUGAAACUAAUUCGAUGUUGUAGAUGUUAGCGCAUUUGUAUGUAGACUUGGUCUAAGUUAGAUGUUUGACUUAGGACAAAACUAA